rnacentral:rRNA from 1 species
AGAGUUUGAUCAUGGCUCAGGAUGAACGCUAGCGGGAGGCCUAACACAUGCAAGUCGAACGGGAUCCCCUUCGGGGGUGAGAGUGGCGCACGGGUGAGUAACGCGUAUGCAACCUACCUGUAACAGAGGGAUAGCCCAUAGAAAUGUGGAUUAAUACCUCAUAGUUCUCAGAGAUCGCAUGGUUUUUGAGAUAAAACUCCGGUGGUUACAGAUGGGCAUGCGUGACAUUAGCUAGUUGGUGAGGUAACGGCUCACCAAGGCGACGAUGUCUAGGGGUUCUGAGAGGAUGAUCCCCCACACUGGUACUGAGACACGGACCAGACUCCUACGGGAGGCAGCAGUGAGGAAUAUUGGUCAAUGGGCGCAAGCCUGAACCAGCCAUCCCGCGUGCAGGAUGACGGCCCUAUGGGUUGUAAACUGCUUUUAUACACCAAGAAAAAACAGGACGUGUCCUGAUCUGACGGUAGUGUAUGAAUAAGCAUCGGCUAACUCCGUGCCAGCAGCCGCGGUAAUACGGAGGAUGCAAGCGUUAUCCGGAUUCAUUGGGUUUAAAGGGUGCGUAGGCGGCUUUUUAAGUCAGUGGUGAAAUCCUGUCGCUUAACGAUAGAAUUGCCAUUGAUACUGAGAAGCUUGAGUUCAGUUGAGGUAAGCGGAAUGUGUAGUGUAGCGGAAAUGCUUAGAUAUUACACAGAACACCGAUUGCGAAGGCAGCUUACUAAACUGACACUGACGCUGAUGCACGAAAGCGUGGGGAGCGAACAGGAUUAGAUACCCUAGUAGUCC